rnacentral:rRNA from 1 species
CCUACGGGUGGCAGCAGUGGGGAAUAUUGGACAAUGGGGGCAACCCUGAUCCAGCCAUGCCGCGUGUGUGAAGAAGGCCCUCGGGUUGUAAAGCACUUUCAGUGAGGAAGAACGCCUGGUGGUUAAUACCCAUCAGGAAAGACAUCACUCACAGAAGAAGCACCGGCUAACUCCGUGCCAGCAGCCGCGGUAAUACGGAGGGUGCGAGCGUUAAUCGGAAUUACUGGGCGUAAAGCGCGCGUAGGUGGCUUGAUAAGCCGGUUGUGAAAGCCCCGGGCUCAACCUGGGAACGGCAUCCGGAACUGUCAAGCUAGAGUGCAGGAGAGGAAGGUAGAAUUCCCGGUGUAGCGGUGAAAUGCGUAGAGAUCGGGAGGAAUACCAGUGGCGAAGGCGGCCUUCUGGACUGACACUGACACCGAGGUGCGAAAGCGUGGGUAGCAAACAGGAUUAGAUACCCUAGUAGUC